rnacentral:rRNA from 1 species
UGCGGCACAUUAGUUAGUUGGUAAGGUAACGGCUUACCAAGACUAUGAUGUGUAGCUGGACUGAGAGGUUGAACGGCCACAUUGGGAUUGAGAUACGGCCCAAACUCCUACGGGAGGCAGCAGUAAGGAAUUUUCGGCAAUGGAGGAAACUCUGACCGAGCAACGCCGCGUGAACGAUGAAAUAUUUAGGUAUGUAAAGUUCUUUUAUUAAAGAAGAAAAAAUGAUGGAAAAAUCAUUCUGACGGUAUUUAAUGAAUAAGCCCCGGCUAACUAUGUGCCAGCAGCUGCGGUAAUACAUGGGGGGCAAGCGUUAUCCGGAUUUAUUGGGCGUAAAGGGUGUGUAGGCGGUUUAAUAAGUCUAUGGUAUAAGUUCAACGCUUAACGUUGUGAUGCUAUGGAAACUGUUUGACUAGAGUUGGAUAGAGGCAAGUGGAAUUCCAUGUGUAGCGGUAAAAUGCGUAAAUAUAUGGAGGAACACCAGUAGCGAAGGCGGCUUGCUGGGUCUUAACUGACGCUGAGGCACGAAAGCGUGGGGAGCAAACAGGAUUAGAUACCCUGGUAGUCCACGCCGUAAACGAUGAGUACUAAGUGUUGGGUUAAACCAGUGCUGAAGUUAACACAUUAAGUACUCCGCCUGAGUAGUACGUACGCAAGUAUGAAACUUAAAGGAAUUGACGGGACUCCGCACAAGCGGUGGAUCAUGUUGUUUAAUUCGAAGAUACACGAAAAACCUUACCAGGUCUUGACAUACUCUGCAAAGCUAUAGAAAUAUAGUGGAGGUUAUCAGGGAUACAGGUGGUGCAUGGUUGUCGUCAGCUCGUGUCGUGAGAUGUUGGGUUAAGUCCCGCAACGAGCGCAACCCUUAUCGCUAGUUACCAUCAUUUAGUUGGGCACUUUAGUGAGACUGCCAAUGAUAAAUUGGAGGAAGGUGGGGAUUACGUCAAAUCAUCAUGCCCCUUAUGACCUGGGCUACAAACGUGAUACAAUGGCUGUUACAAAGAGUAGCUGAAGCGUGAGUUUUUAGCAAAUCUCAAAAAAACAGUCUCAGUUCGGAUUGAAGUCUGCAACUCGACUUCAUGAA